UUUGUCCUCAAUCUGCACAUGCUAUUGACUCCAGCCUUUCAUGAUUUGACCCCAAGUUCAAGGCUGUUUAGUGUAUUUCAGCUCGAAAAUUCCGGUGACCGUUGUUGACAGUGGAUACAGCAAAAUUGAAAUGCUCGAUCCAGACCGAUAUUUUGCUGGGCACAACCUUCAAGAAAUAGAAGCAAUGGUGUUAUUUCAAAUGACAUCAUGACUGCCUUAGAUUAAAACUUGAAGGAGGUGACAUUCCCCAGAAAAGUUGUUCACCAUACCAUCCCAUGUUGGGUUGCCC